CAAUUAUCCACACAUGCUUCUUUGUCUUACGCAAGUUGUUGAUAUUAACAAUAAUAUUUUUUCUUAUUCAUAGAAUGUCGAAGGCGACUUUUGAACUUCUUUUACAAAUGCUCAGGCCAUAUUUAACGAGACAAAUAAAGGGAUCUCCUAUGAUACCACCACAUCAUCAAUAAUGAUAAUAAUAAAAAUAUUUGAAAAAUGAUCUGUUUACGAUAGAUUCAAUGUUGGAAGAGCAACUGCUGUUCGAGUUGUGCGAGGGUCACUCAUACACUUUUCUUAAAUGCUUCAACAUUUAUUAAAUGGCCUAUAAGUGAUUAUGCUGAAAGGAUUAUGCAAGGAUUCGUAGAAAGCAGUGGCUUUCCGAAAACCAUUGGGGCCAUUGAUGAUAUCCAUAUUCGAAUAGAGGCUCCAAAAGAAAAUUCUCGAUUACAUAAACCUUGGUGUGUGAUCACAAAACUUUGAUCACACAUUGUUAUGCUGGGCAUUCUGGCUCAGUUCAUGACCAGCGAGUUUUUCGACAAUCUGAGGUAGCAAACUACUUGAAUAAUGAAGAGAAGUUUCCAGCUGACAGUCAUAUAUUGGGAGAUGUUGCAUACGAAAUUCAUCAAAACUUACUGACUCCCUUUAGAGACAAUAGGCACCUUACAGUAGCACAGAACAAUUAUAAUUAUCGCUAUUCAGUAGCCAGAGUGACAAUCGAAAGGGAUAUUGGUCUAUUAAAAGGGAGGAUGAGAAGUUUAUUGCAUUGUCUGCCUAUGUGGCAUUAAGAGUGAAUUUAAUGACGGAAUAUAUGAUAGCAUGCUGUGUGAUUCAAUAUCUGUAUAUUAAGAAAUGAUGAAAUCAAAGGGAUUAUCACCAUACUCCCAAGUCCACCCAACUUCACAAGAGUAAUAGAGGUCAUGUUAUUUUAUAUCAAGGAAGACCAAAUGCUGACGGAAUUGCCAAAAGAGAUUUAAUUAUGAAUAUUUUAUGUCAAUAGUUUAAAAAAUUGUUAUGCAAGAUUCACAUAAUAUGCACGUAUGAUCCAAUA